rfam:Ixodes scapularis strain Wikel colony gcontig_1107728684928, whole genome shotgun sequence.
CCAAAGGCCCUUUUUAGGGCCAAACAAAAUUGUGUUUGGGGCUUCA